CAACACGAGAUCGAGGCAGUUCAGCUCCUUCGGGAUGCUACUAGAUGCCACAUGACGGUAGAAGUAUUCUUGGAUCUUCGCAGUUCUAGUCCUUUGUUCGAGCUGAGUGACCUGGUAUGCAGAUGAACAACACAACCGUCAACAAGAAGGUAAACCGGAACAGCAUAAAGGCGAGGAGCGAGUAGACCAGCACGCGAUAUGACAGCCGUCUAGAGACCACCUUCACCUUGAUGAACUCCUUCACGCCUUUUGAUGGAAGAACAGUCACAUGCCUCAGACUCGGUGAUAUAUGAAGCUGCAUUUUGAUCGUUCUCGUCUCUGGCUGCCGUCCACCAGAAACAAAAGGCCAAGAUCGUUUUGCUGCUCACCGGACAAUCACCCGAGAGCAAGUCUUUAGGAUUGCCAAGAACAACACUUUAAGAAGGCGGUGUAAAAGAAAGGCCUUCUGUGAUAGGGAGUUACUAUCAAUCACCUAACCUUGCUUAGCAUGUAGGCUAGAUAGUAAUGUAUUCAAGGUUUCAGCACAAGUAGUAUUUUGACACAUGAAAUGAAAGUUUGAUUUGAAGAAUUUUAAGCCAUUUGUUUGUUUGGCAGAAAGAGACAUCAGACUUAAAAAGGCUGCAUUUGUUUA